GGCGAACCGUGCGAACGUUGUUCGGAAUCACUGGGCUUAAAGGGCGCGUAGGCGGCUCGCCAAGUCAGGGGUGAAAUACUUCAGCUUAACUGGAGAAGUGCCCUUGAUACUGGCGGGCUCGAGGGAGGUAGGGGUCUGUGGAACUUCUGGUGGAGCGGUGAAAUGCGUUGAUAUCAUCAGGAACACCGGUGGCGAAGGCGGCUUUCUGGGUCUUACCUGACGCUGAGGAACGAAAGCCAGGGGAGCGAACGGG
rnacentral:rRNA from 1 species